AACGAACGCUGGCGGCAGGCUUAACACAUGCAAGUCGAGCGCCCCGCAAGGGGAGCGGCAGACGGGUGAGUAACGCGUGGGAAUCUACCCAUCUCUACGGAAUAACGCAUGGAAACGUGUGCUAAUACCGUAUACGUCCUUCGGGAGAAAGAUUUAUCGGAGAUGGAUGAGACCGCGUUGGAUUAGAUAGUUGGUGGGGUAAAGGCCUACCAAGGCGACGAUCCAUAGCUGGUCUGAGAGGAUGAUCAGCCACACUGGGACUGAGACACGGCCCAGACUCCUACGGGAGGCAGCAGUGGGGAAUAUUGGACAAUGGGCGCAAGCCUGAUCCAGCCAUGCCGCGUGAGUGAUGAAGGCCCUAGGGUUGUAAAGCUCUUUCACCGGUGAAGAUAAUGACGGUAACCGGAGAAGAAGCCCCGGCUAACUUCGUGCCAGCCGCCGCGGUAACAC
rnacentral:rRNA from 1 species